AGGAGCCUACCUUUACUUAGCCUCACAACAUGGGCCUUAGCUUUAGCACUUAAUCUGCACAAAUACCUGGCUUAAGUGUUAUGACUGACUGGCUAUUCAACCAAACCAUACAAAUGACCAAUUCGGUAAGAAAGCAUGAACUUCAGUGUUGAACCAAAUCAACCAACCUCCUCAAUCCAAAUGGAGAGGAUAACAAAGGAAGCUGAGGAAGUCUGUUCUGGAGGCACCAUGACAAAGCACCAGACAGAAAGCAGUCACGUGUGGGGAGAUGAGCAGAGACACCACUUCUCAAGCACCUGAUUAUUCUUUCUCAGUAUUUAGAAGCAAAAAUUAUCCUUAAGAAAAACAACCGCAAACGCAACACAGGCUACACAGAUGAGAAAAUGGGGUAAAAUGGGGAUUGAGAAAAUUGAAGGGCAACUUAAUAACGAAGUUUUAAUUUCUUACAAAAA
ensembl:lncRNA novel transcript